rnacentral:tRNA from 1 species
GCCUGGGUGGCUCAGUUGGUUGAGCGUCUGACUUCAGCUCAGGUCCUGAUCUCACUGUUCGUGAGUUCGAGCCCCUCUUUGGGCU